rnacentral:rRNA from 1 species
UACGAAGGGGGCUGGCGUUGCUCGGAAUCACUGGGCGUAAAGCGCACGUAGGCGGCUUUCUAAGUCAGGGGUGAAAUCCUGGAGCUCAACUCCAGAACUGCCUUUGAUACUGGAAAGCUUGAGUUCGAGAGAGGUGAGUGGAACUGCGAGUGUAGAGGUGAAAUUCGUAGAUAUUCGCAAGAACACCAGUGGCGAAGGCGGCUCACUGGCUCGAUACUGACGCUGAGGUGCGAAAGCGUGGGGAGCAAACAGG